GACGAACGCCGGCGGCGUGCUUAACACAUGCAAGUCGAACGGAAGGGCCCUGCUUUUGUGGGGUGCUCGAGUGGCGAACGGGUGAGUAACACGUGAGUAACCUGCCCUUGACUUUGGGAUAACUUCAGGAAACUGGGGCUAAUACCGGAUAGGAGCUCCUGCUGCAUGGUGGGGGUUGGAAAGUUUCGGCGGUUGGGGAUGGACUCGCGGCUUAUCAGCUUGUUGGUGGGGUAGUGGCUUACCAAGGCUUUGACGGGUAGCCGGCCUGAGAGGGUGACCGGCCACAUUGGGACUGAGAUACGGCCCAGACUCCUACGGGAGGCAGCAGUGGGGAAUAUUGCACAAUGGGCGGAAGCCUGAUGCAGCAACGCCGCGUGCGGGAUGACGGCCUUCGGGUUGUAAACCGCUUUCGCCUGUGACGAAGCGUGAGUGACGGUAAUGGGUAAAGAAGCACCGGCUAACUACGUG
rnacentral:rRNA from 1 species